GACGAACGCUGGCGGCGUGCUUAACACAUGCAAGUCGAACGGAGAAUUUAUUUCGGUAAAUUCUUAGUGGCGAACGGGUGAGUAACGCGUGGGCAACCUGCCCUUCAGAUGGGGACAACAUCCCGAAAGGGGUGCUAAUACCGAAUACGAUCACGCUGCCGCAUGGCGGAGUGAUGAAAGAUGGCCUCUAUAUAUAAGCUAUCGCUGAAGGAUGGGCCUGCGUCUGAUUAGCUAGUUGGUGGGGUAACGGCCUACCAAGGCGAUGAGCAGUAGCCGGUCUGGGAGGAUGAACGGCCACAUUGGGACUGAGACACGGCCCAAACGCCUACGGGAGGCAGCAGUGGGGAAUAUUCCGCAAUGGACGAAAGUCUGACGGAGCAACGCCGCGUGAGUGAUGAAGGUUUUCGGACUGUAAAACUCUGUUGUUUAGGACGAAAGUGCCUGUUGCAAAUAGUUGCAGGUAUUGACGGUACUGAACGAGGAAGCCACGGCUAACUACGUGCCAGCCGCCGCGGUAA
rnacentral:rRNA from 1 species